GAUUAACGCUGGCGGCGUGCAUAACACAUGCAAGUCGAACGAUGAAACUUAAAUGAUUUCUUCGGAAUGAACUUAAGUGGAUUAGUGGCGGACGGGUGAGUAACGCGUGAGUAACCUGCCUUACACAUGGGGAUAGCCGUUGGAAACGACGAAUAAUACCCUAUGAAACUAUCACUUCGCAUGAAGCGAUAGUCAAAGUGUUAGCGGUGUAAGAUGGACUUGCGUCUGAUUAGCUAGUUGGUGAGAAAAAAGCCCACCAAGGCAACGAUCAGUAGCCGGCUUGAGAGCGUGUACGGCCACAUUGGGACUGAGACACGGCCCAGACUCCUACGGGAGGCAGCAGUGGGGAAUUUUGCACAAUGGGGGAAACCCUGAUGCAGCGACGCCGCGUGAUUUAGAAGGCCUUCGGGUUGUAAAAAUCUUUUGUAUAGGAAGAAAAUGACAGUACUAUACGAAUAAGGUCCGGCUAAUUACGUG
rnacentral:rRNA from 1 species